rnacentral:rRNA from 1 species
UGGGGAAUUGUUCGCAAUGGGCGCAAGCCUGACGACGCAACGCCGCGUGGAGGAUGAAGACCUUCGGGUCGUAAACUCCUUUCGAUCGAGACGAAUGGCCUCUGGGUGAAUAAUCCGGAGGAGUGACGGUACCGAGAGAAGAAGCCCCGGCUAACUCCGUGCCAGCAGCCGCGGUAAUACGGGGGGGGCAAGCGUUGUUCGGAAUUACUGGGCGUAAAGGGCUCGUAGGUGGCCAACUAAGUCAGACGUGAAAUCCCUCGGCUUAACCGGGGAACUGCAUCUGAUACUGGAUGGCUUGAGUUUGGGAGAGGGACGCGGAAUUCCAGGUGUAGCGGUGAAAUGCGUAGAUAUCUGGAGGAACACCGGUGGCGAAGGCGGCGUCCUGGACCAAUACUGACACUGAUGAGCGAAAGCCAGGGGAGCAAACGGG